UAAUACGUAGGGAGCAAGCGUUGUCCGGAUUUACUGGGUGUAAAGGGUGCGUAGGUGGUUUUGUGGGUCAGGCGUGAAAUUUAGAGGCUCAACUUCUGAACUGCGUUUGAAACUAUAAGACUUGAGUUAAGUAGGGGCAGAUGGAAUUCCCGGUGUAGCGGUGAAAUGCGUAGAUAUCGGGAGGAAUACCUGUGGCGAAGGCGAUCUGCUGGGCUUUUACUGACACUGAGGCACGAAAGCGUGGGUAGCAAACAGGAUUAGAUACCCUGGUAGUCCAUGCCGUAAACGAUGAUUACUAGGUGUGGGGGGUCUGACCCCCUCCGUGCCGCAGUUAACACAUUAAGUAAUCCACCUGGGAAGUACGACCGCAAGGUUAAAACUCAAAGGAAUUGACGGGGACCCGCACAAGCAGUGGAGUAUGUGGUUUAAUUCGAAGAUACGCGAAAAACCUUACCAGCUUUUGAGAUCCAGAUGAAUACAGGGUAAUGCCUGUAGCUCUUCCGACAUCUGA
rnacentral:rRNA from 1 species